rnacentral:rRNA from 1 species
UGGGGAAUAUUGGACAAUGGAGGGAACUCUGAUCCAGCAAUUCUGUGUGUGUGAAGAAGGUUUUAGGACUGUAAAACACUUUUAGUAGGGAAGAAAAAAAUGACGGUACCUACAGAAGAAGCAACGGCUAAAUACGUGCCAGCAGCCGCGGUAAUACGUAUGUUGCGAGCGUUAUCAGGAAUUAUUGGGAUUAAAGGGCAUCUAGGCGGUAAGACAAGUUGAAGGUGAAAAGCUGUGGCUCAACCAUAGGCUUGCCUACAAAACUGAUUAACUAGAGUACUGGAAAGGUGGGUGGAACUACACGAGUAGAGGUGAAAUUCGUAGAUAUGUGUAGGAAUGCUGAAGAUGAAGAUAGCUCACUGGACAGAAACAGACGCUGAAGUGCGAAAGAUAGGGGAGCAAACAGG